UUUAUUGAUGAUUUCCUUCACAACCUAUCCCGGUGAAAAACAAUGUGCCAUGGAUAAAACAUGCAUCACCAUCUGAAC
rnacentral:snoRNA from 1 species